UACGGAGGGGGCUAGCGUUGUUCGGAAUUACUGGGCGUAAAGCGCACGUAGGCGGCUUUGUAAGUUAGAGGUGAAAGCCCAGGGCUUAACCCUGGAAUUGCCUUUAAGACUGCAUCGCUAGAAUCGUGGAGAGGUGAGUGGAAUUCCGAGUGUAGAGGUGAAAUUCGUAGAUAUUCGGAAGAACUCCAGUGGCGAAGGCGACUCACUGGACACGUAUUGACGCUGAGGUGCGAAAGCGUGGGGAGCAAACAGG
rnacentral:rRNA from 1 species